CACUCAUUUCUCUCGAUAUUAUAUCUGUUUAUAUAACCCCAUGAAGGAAGAGAGGUUUUUCCAUAGUUGGAAAGAGUAAAGAACUUGCUUUCUGGGUUUUCAGGCUCACCAACUCUCUUCCCAAGCUCUCGUUUCAGCCAAUUAAGAAGACAUGGAAGUGGCUGUUGAGGUAGAAGCCUGUGUAUUUUUUUGUAGAUUUAAACAAGCAAAUCUCUUUGCUUAUCAUGGAUGAUGAGCAAAUAAAUCGUCACCGACAAAAAAUUAAAAAUUGAAACCUCACCGACAAAACAUUACAAAUUGAAACCUCUGUGAAUAACAUCAUAAAUCAUCGCUUCAGCAAAAUAUUAAAAAUUGAAACCUCACCGACAAAACAAAAAAGAAAAAAGAAAAAAAGACCAUCUCAAAUGAAACAUUUUAGUCUGCAUAAACCCAGUCUUAUUUGUCUUGCAAUUAAAAGAAACCAAAAAGAAACAAAAACUAAGGGCAGAGGGAAAAACAUAAGAAAAAUAGAAGAAUAGAAUAAUCUUACCGAUUUCUCUGACGGCAGAGGAGUGUGACAGUAGAGGCCUGCGACGGUCCACGAGUGCGACGAUGUAGCAGAUUUGGGGAAGGUCUGUCUCGUCGAGGGCAGCAGGCUAAGGUUCUUUAUUUGGGGGAAUUUUGGGGAAAAUAGGGAGGGGAAUAGAACCAAGGUUUUCGGGUAUGGGGAAAUUUAGAAGCAGAAAUAAUUGAAAAUUUGCGGCGUUUCUAUAGUAGCACCACUAAUGCCCACAAAAACGGUGACGUUUUGUUUAAACAACAGCCCAACCUUGCGGCGUUUUUAUAAACGCGCCGCUAAUGCGCACAUUUAGUGGCGUUUUUC
rnacentral:lncRNA from 1 species